rnacentral:rRNA from 1 species
CCUUAGUCCGGGGCGAACACGUGCUCGUGGCUGUAUACAUAAGACCGCAAUUAUCCCGCGGAGGAUGGAGCAAAUCUAUAAAAUACGUCCCAGUUCGGAUUGGAGUCUGCAACUCGACUCCAUGAAGCCGGAAUCGCUAGUAAUCGUAAAUCAGCCAUGCUACGGUGAAUACGUUCCCGGGUCUUGUACUCACCGCCCGUCACACCAUGGGAGUUGAUUUCACUCGAAGCCCAAAUACCAAACCGGUUAUGGUCCACAGUGGAAUCAGCGACUGGGGUGAAGUCGUAACAAGGUAACCGUAGGAGAACCUGCGGUUGGAUCACCUCCU